rfam:Aedes aegypti strain Liverpool supercont1.788 genomic scaffold, whole genome shotgun sequence.
CCUCUCGUGGUGUAGGGGUAGCGCGCCCUAUCUAUUGAGCAGGGAGUCGUGAGUUAGAUUCUCACCGAGAAGA